rnacentral:tRNA from 1 species
GCCAGCGUGACCGAAACGGUGUCGGAGCUGCCUGAUAAGCAGUGUUCUUUCCCAAGAACUCUGGGUUCGAUUCCCGGCGCUGGCG